UCCGCCCGUUAGUGCCACAAAACGAAACGGCGAAGGCACCCGUUCCGUCGCUCUGUGGGCGGUGACAGGAGGAGGAAGCAGCAGGGGCGUCUCCGCCCCGCCCCACCGGCGGCAGGGGCGGGGUUCUCCGCAGGGCGCAGUCGGCCGCCGCCAGCACAGCAGGCAUAAGGAGUGAAACCGGUUCCCAGUUUCUCCAGCAGCAUGUCUGUUUCCUCCAGUUACUUUGCAGCACGUGUGCACACUUCUAACAACUCUGUGCUUGCAUGUUUGAGUUCUGUCCUCAUUGGGUUCAGUUUUUACAGAACAUAGUGUGUGCCCUCAAUAUGGGUAUGUCCCAGGAGAGUACAGGAACUGCCCAUAAUACUAUGGCUGGUGUGGCUGGUACACAUCUCAUUUGUGUGCAAUCGGGGCAGUACCAGCAAGGCUGCACAAGAGCUGAGAAGGGCUCAUGGAUGCCACAGAAGACUACUCUGAUAAAGAUGCAUGCUUGUGAUAAUGGAGAAACUGGAUAGACAGAAAAAGCUGGCAGCAUCUUCCUCAGUUCAUGUGGAACAUACUGGAACAAAGAUAUCCAAGAACACUGAAGACUAACAGGCAAGGAUAUGGGCUUCCUGAAGGGACUUAUGCCUUUGCUGAUGCUCCUCUUCUAAUUCCUGGAUCUCCUGAGUCAGCCUCUGUCGCUCCUGACUGAACUGGGC